CACGUAGGUGACAAGCGUUGUCCGGAUUUACUGGGCGUAAAGAGCGCGCAGGCGGUCGAUCAAGUCGAGUGUGAAAGCCCCCGGCUCAACUGGGGAGGGUCAUUCGAUACUGAUCGACUCGAAGGCAGGAGAGGGUAGUGGAAUUCCCGGUGUAGUGGUGAAAUGCGUAGAUAUCGGGAGGAACACCAGUGGCGAAGGCGACUACCUGGCCUGUUCUUGACGCUGAGGCGCGAAAGCUAGGGGAGCAAACGGG
rnacentral:rRNA from 1 species